rnacentral:rRNA from 1 species
GUCGAGCGCAGGAAACCAGAUGACCCCUUCGGGGUGAUUCUGGUGGAAUGAGCGGCGGACGGGUGAGUAACACGUGGGCAACCUGCCUGUAAGACUGGGAUAACUUCGGGAAACCGGAGCUAAUACCGGAUAGUAUUUCCUUUCUCCUGAUUGGAAAUGGAAAGACGGUUUCGGCUGUCACUUACAGAUGGGCCCGCGGUGCAUUAGCUAGUUGGUGGGGUAAUGGCCCACCAAGGCGACGAUGCAUAGCCGACCUGAGAGGGUGAUCGGCCACACUGGGACUGAGACACGGCCCAGACUCCUACGGGAGGCAGCAGUAGGGAAUCUUCCGCAAUGGACGAAAGUCUGACGGAGCAACGCCGCGUGAGCGAUGAAGGCCUUCGGGUCGUAAAGCUCUGUUGUUAGGGAAGAACAAGUACGAGAGUAACUGCUCGUACCUUGACGGUACCUAACCAGAAAGCCCCGGCUAACUACGUGCCAGCAGCCGCGGUAAUACGUAGGGGGCAAGCGUUGUCCGGAAUUAUUGGGCGUAAAGGGCUCGUAGGCGGUUUCUUAAGUCUGAUGUGAAAGCCCACAGCUCAACUGUGGAGGGUCAUUGGAAACUGGGGAACUUGAGUGCAGAAGAGGAGAGUGGAAUUCCACGUGUAGCGGUGAAAUGCGUAGAUAUGUGGAGGAACACCAGUGGCGAAGGCGACUCUCUGGUCUGUAACUGACGCUGAGGAGCGAAAGCGUGGGGAGCNAAACAGGAUUUAGAUACCCUGGUAGUCCACGCCGUAACGAUGAGUGCUAG